CCUACGGGGUGCUGCAGUGGGGAAUAUUGGGCAAUGGGCGCAAGCCUGACCCAGCAACGCCGCGUGAAGGAAGAAGGCUUUCGGGUUGUAAACUUCUUUUCUCAGGGACGAAGAAAGUGACGGUACCUGAGGAAUAAGCCACGGCUAACUACGUGCCCGCAGCCGCGGUAAUACGUAGGUGGCAAGCGUUAUCCGGAUUUACUGGGUGUAAAGGGCGUGUAGGCGGGAAAGCAAGUCAGAUGUGAAAACCAUGGGCUCAACCUGUGGCCUGCAUUUGAAACUGUUUUUCUUGAGUACUGGAGAGGCAGGCGGAAUGCCUGGUGUAGCGGUGAAAUGCGUAGAUAUUAGGAGGAACACCAGUUGCGAAGGCGGCCUGCUGGACGACAACUGACGGUGAGGCGCGAAAGCGUGGGGAGCAAACAGGAUUAGAUACCCCGGUAGUA
rnacentral:rRNA from 1 species